rnacentral:ncRNA from 1 species
UAAAAAUUUAAUUUUAGUUUAGAAGUUAAGUAAUAUUUUUUAUUAUAUAUAAAUUCUAUUUAAAGAAAUUGUUUGUAGUAUUUAAAUUUAUUAAUAUAAUAAUUUAUGAUUUAGAAAUAAUAUUAAGUAUAAACUAAGUUUGUGCCAGCAGUUGCGGUUAUACAAACUAUACAAUUUAAUUUUUUUAAUUUGAAUUAAUUAUUAAUUAAAUUAUUUAAUUAAUUAUAAUGAGGUGAAAUUUUAUAAUUUAUAAUAUUAAUUUUUUUUAGUUAAUGAAAUUUUGAAAUUUUAAUAAUAGACUAGGAUUAGAUACCCUAUUAUUUAAAUAGUUAUAAAAAAAUUAAAUUAUUAAUAGUUAUGUUCUUAAAAAUUAAAAAAUUUGGCGGUAUUUUAAUCUUUUCAGAGGAACCUGUUUAUUCAAUGAUACUCCACGAUUAAAUUUACUUACAUUAGAAACUUAUAUAUCGUUGUAAAAAAUAUUUUUAAAGAAAAUUAAUAUUUAAGUAUUAGGAUAAUAAUAAAAAUCAGAUCAAGAUGUAGUAUAUAUGUAAGUAUAAAUGGGUUACACUAAUUUUAAUUGAGGUUUAAAUUUUUUAAUAGAUUGAUUAAUAUGGAUUUGAUAGUAAUUUUAAUAAUUUUAUUAAAAUGAUACUGCUCUAAAAUAUGUACAUAUUGCCCGUCGCUUUCAUUUAAAAUGGAAUAAGUCGUAACAAAGUAAAUUUACUGGAAAGUGAAUUUAGAUUCAA